rnacentral:rRNA from 1 species
CGCGGCCUAUCAGCUUGUUGGUGGGGUAAUGGCCUACCAAGGCGACGACGGGUAGCCGGCCUGAGAGGGUGACCGGCCACACUGGGACUGAGACACGGCCCAGACUCCUACGGGAGGCAGCAGUGGGGAAUAUUGCACAAUGGGUGCAAGUCUGAUGCAGCGACGCCGCGUGAGGGAUGACGGCCUUCGGGUUGUAAACCUCUUUCGCCAGGGACGAAGCGCGAGUGACGGUACCUGGAUAAGAAGCACCGGCUAACUACGUGCCAGCAGCCGCGGUAAUACGUAGGGUGCGAGCGUUGUCCGGAAUUACUGGGCGUAAAGAGCUCGUAGGCGGUUUGUCGCGUCGGCUGUGAAAUCUGGAGGCUUAACCUUCAGCGUGCAGUCGAUACGGGCAGACUUGAGUUCGGCAGGGGAGACUGGAAUUCCUGGUGUAGCGGUGAAAUGCGCAGAUAUCAGGAGGAACACCGGUGGCGAAGGCGGGUCUCUGGGCCGAUACUGACGCUGAGGAGCGAAAGCGUGGGGAGCGAACAGGAUUAGAUACCCUGGUAGUCCACGCUGUAAACGUUGGGCGCUAGGUGUGGGCGACAUUCCACGUUGUCCGUGCCGUAGCUAACGCAUUAAGCGCCCCGCCUGGGGAGUACGG